rnacentral:rRNA from 1 species
UACGUAGGAUGCAAGCGUUGUCCGGAAUCAUUGGGCGUAAAGGGCGCGUAGGUGGCCCGGUCAGUUCGUGGUGAAAGCGCGGGGCUCAACCCUGCGUCGGCCAUGAAUACUGCCGCGGCUGGAGCACUGUAGAGGCAGGCGGAAUUCCGGGUGUAGCGGUGGAAUGCGUAGAGAUCCGGAAGAACACCGGUGGCGAAGGCGGCCUGCUGGGCAGUUGCUGACACUGAGGCGCGACAGCGUGGGGAGCAAACAGG